UACGGAGGAUGCGAGCGUUAUCCGGAUUUAUUGGGUUUAAAGGGUGCGUAGGCGGAGUGUCAAGUCAGCGGUAAAAUUUCGGGGCUCAACCCCGUCGUGCCGUUGAAACUGACACCCUUGAGUGAGUGAGAAGUAAGCGGAAUGCGUGGUGUAGCGGUGAAAUGCUUAGAGAUCAUACAGAACACCGAUUGCGAAGGCAGCUUACCAAGCUACUUCUGACGUUGAGGCACGAAAGCGUGGGGAGCAAACAGG
rnacentral:rRNA from 1 species